rnacentral:rRNA from 1 species
AACGCUGGCGGUGCGCCUUAUGCAUGCAAGUCGAGCGAAGCUUUUCAGUAGUUUACUACAGAAAAUGACUGAGCGGCGAACGGGUGAGUAACGCGUGAGCAAUCUACCUUAGUUACAGGGAUAGCCCGAGGAAACUCGGAUUAAUACCUGAUAUUCUUUAUUUCUCGCAUGAGAAUAAAAGGAAAGGUCAGCCGAACUAAGAUGAGCUCGCGUUCUAUCAGCUAGUUGGUGAGGUAAAAGCUUACCAAGGCUACGACGGAUAGCUGGUCUGAGAGGACGAUCAGCCACACUGGGACUGAGACACGGCCCAGACUCCUACGGGAGGCUGCAGCAGGGAAUAUUGUGCAAUGAACGAAAGUUUGACACAGCGACACCGCGUGUGGGAUGACGGAUCUAGGUUUGUAAACCACUUUCAGGAGGGAAGAAAA